GUAACAAGAAUAAAAUAAAUAUUUUGGCAUUCUUCAUUCAUUCAUCAUAAAGUAUAUGCUCUGUAAAACUAACUCCUGGUAAAUUAUUUAUAGGUCACUUUUAAAAACUUCCCAAGAUAGUAAUGCAUCCCCUGAAAGGAAGAGACACAUAGUUUUUCUAUUCUUUAUAUGAGACAUGCUUAUACUAUAGAAAUAUUUUUUGCUAUGGGUUUACAGAAUUAUAAAGAUAUUUAGGUAUGUUUGGAGCUACAGCACUUUCCAGUGAUCUGAGCUGCAGACACAGAAAAGUGCAAAAACAACCUUGAAAAUGCUUUGGCAGACUUUGCAUGUUAAUCACUGCAGAAUGGCUUCAAAAUUAAUGAAACUAGUGCAAUUUUUUCUGUAUAAGUGCCUCACUCUGGGAUGUAAGUGAAACAGAAAUUUAGUGUAGUAGUUUUCAAGACAAUGAUUAACAUUUACAUUUAUCAGCUGAAAAUCCCCAAAACGUUAUAAAAAGGUAAAUUUUACAAAGUAGAGUGCUUGCUUCCCUGCUAAUAGGCAGCUCUUAGCCAUCUAAAGUCAGUCUCUUUCUCUCUCCCCUUCCUUACUAAGACAAUUGUAAGGUUGACAGAAAUGCCAAAUUCAUGCAUGUUUUUCUUCUUGUUAUGCCAUUAAGAUGAGUCAUUUGCAGUUACACUAUAUAGCUUCCUCCUUUUUAAAUGUAUUUUAUUAUUUUACAGUUGCACUCCAGUUUUUAACAUAUAUUUGCUUUAUUUAUAUAUUUUUUUAUCUUCAGACAUUGUGCUAAAAUCUUAUUUAUUCUAAGGCUUUCAAGAAGAGAAUUUAAAUGCAUCACAGGAUAGGUAGAUGUACUUGAACACUCAUUGCCAGCUACAGUCCAAAAUAUUGUUGUUCAUUGUUCCCUUCUACAUAUUCAAGAGAUAUUUGAUCAAAAUGUAUAACAAACAUGAAAACAUAUAAAAGCCUUGAAUUUUCUAUGAGGAAAAGAAAAUAUGGAAAAAUAGUACAAUAUUGCACUCUGCUUAGGGGCACUGGUUAGGGUAUUUAUGCUGAAGAAAAUAGCAAAAUGCAGAGAGUCUGACUAGUUUCUUGGAAUCUUAUGUUUAAUACUUCUUCAGUAUGGAAAUCAUGCAAAAUUACUUGAAAAUGGCUGUCAAGUAUUUGAUCAUAGCAGUAUAGAAUCCCCAAGAAGAAAAGGAAAAAAUCCCAGGAAAGUUUUGAGAAGGUUUGAAUAUCAAGUAACAGACUGGGCUGCUGUCUCCAUACUUCUGGUGCGUUUUUAACUAGGCUACCUUGUGUUCUUUUCUUUCCUUUCCAAACCCAGUAUUUAAAAGUCCCAUAUGGCAAUAGAUAUUGCUGGAAUAGUAUGCAUACUGUUCUGGAAUCAAUUUUAUCUGAGUUAACUUUCUGUAUUUUAGAAUGCAGAUGAAAUAUUUUUCCUUCUCUACAUUUUCUUUUGACCUGGUCCUUGUACACUUUCUGUUGUUUUGCCUGCAGCCCUCUCAAUGGGUGUUUACAUAAUAUACAGAACUUUCUUUGUUAAUCCUCUAUAGAUGUGGAAGGGGCAGGGAGGAGGGGAGAAGUAUAAGGGUCGUUCUGUCCAGUGUCAUCUAUGCAUAGACAAAAGACAAAGGAGGAUUGAAGGUGACAUAUUCUGUGUGAUAACACCAGACCAGUACAUUAGGUACUGGUAUGUAGUCUUCAUUAAGAGGACAAGGAUGGGGAAGAAUGUGAAUAGAAAAAGCAGAAUCUUGCUUGGAACUUGUUGAUGCCAGAAGCAUUAUUUAACUUUUGAAGAAUGACGCUAACGUUCAAACUUAAUUUUCCCUUGUGAUCUGAACGGAUGGCUCUGCCUUUUACGUGCAGACCCUUGUCCUAGGAGUCUACUUAUGCUCAAGGUCAAAGAAAAAAAUAUGAACAGGGAUGCUGUUAGGGAAUGAUCAAAAAACGUGCUUGUUUUACUUCAUAUCCUACUUAGCAGAGACUCAUGACUGACAGCUCUUUUCAACCAUUAGAGAUUUUGUGUCAAUAGGUCAAUAGAUUUAAUAUCCUGGGGAUAUCCCCUUCAGAUUGCUGAUAGGCACCUUACAACAGCCAAAGGCCUGACCUCGGACCAUUUUCAGAUUUAAACUGUACCAACUGGAUGUCAAACUAGGACUUUGAGAGACUCAUCAGAACAAGGUGCACAGAACAAGGUAGUACAGCCAUGAUCUGAACUGGGCAGAUGUUGAGUUCACCUUCUGCAAUAAAACUACAGAUGAAAGAAAUAUAUUUUCGAGCUGUUCUUUGCUGACCAAGGUGUUCGCAAAUCUAUGCUAAUAUCUACAAUUGUGCCAAAGAUACAUGUAUUUGGAAACGAGUUGUGGAAAACUACUUAUUUGUUUCUUAAUGUAUUUUUAAUAGUUGUUUUGACUGAUAUGAAACAUAUGCCACGUGAAUACUCUCUUCUUGUACCUGGUGUCAUACAGAAAGUAAAUGUAAUAUUAGUGACUAACAAAUCACAGGAAUCUGAAAUAUUCUUCCUAUCCAUAGUUACUUCAAAAUAUUUAAAAGGUGAUUAUAAUUUCUACACAAGUACAGACCUUUGUCAGAUUCCCUUCAAUACGUUUUUUUUUUGUUUUUUUGUUUUUUUGGUUUUUUUGGGUUUGUUUUUAGGUUUGGUUUGGUUUUGGCUUUUUUCUCCAAGGUGACCUUUGUAUUUCUGGCUUCUUAUUCUAAGCCAGUUGAUGGUGAUUUUGAGAUUGCAUUGGCUCAAGUUUUAGGAAAAUAAGUGUAAAAUUAGAAAGCGGUUACCCACAUCAGUUCCCUGCUGGGAAAGAUAUAUUUCUGUAAGCUAAAGUAGAUUAUUAACUGAGAGUACACAUGGAGUCAGACAUUGCCAAUGUCCCAGCUACAGUAAAGGUUUCAGACAGCUUGAACUCCAUUAGAUACAGAUAAUACAAUCAUGAGUCAGGAUGCUAUAAGCUUCAUGAGUUUCAUAUCACAGUUUCCUUUCCUGAGUCCAAAGGAAGGUCUUGUGCAGGGUCAACAGAAGCUCAAGGGUGUGUCACUAACAGCUUGAUGGGAAUUGGAGCUCCUAGAAUGAGUAACACUGUCACAGGAGGAUGUUUUUUUCCUGUUCCCAAUGGAUCUCCAGAGCUUCCAUACACUAAUUAAUGAUGGAGACUGCUGUUGUGGGAAAAUAAUAUAAAGGCCCAGAUUUUCUGCUUCAGGCAAGGAGCAAGGAGUGCUAAUUGGGAGGGAGGUGUGAGCAAAGAUGCCACCUUGCACUGACUGAUCAUUAGCCAGCUUUUGUCACUUGCCAUGAGUUAGAGCAGUCUGAGGGUGACUGCAAAUUUUGUGGACUGAUAGUGGCACCAAAGGGCCCUUCUGUUGACUGGGCCAUACUGGUGUGUCACAUGUACUUGCCAAAGUCUGUGUGUUAUCUGCUAGGGAUCAGAAGUGGAGAACAUCAUACUUUGGUUUUGAGAAAGGGCUAAGGAUUAGUUUGGACAAGUGGGAGGAAACAUUAGGUGAAAACCUAAGCUCCUUAUUUGGAUUUCUGAAUUAACUUAAAGCUUCAAAUGUUCAGGUACUUAGAAACAAAGGACUCUUUGCAGGAAGAAGUGAAUGAGAAAGAAGCUCUUUCUGAGUAUAUAUUAGUGCUUCAACCUCUGCUACUACCAGAAUGUAGCAGGUAGUCAAUCUCCAGAACAUCCUAUGCAAUCCAUUAGGCUGCAGCUCCAGAGUAAAAUCAAACUUCUUAGAUGAUUUGCUGUAGAAAAUCUCUUCUGAGUAUCUACAGUGUCCUUUUGACAAGAUCCUUUAUGUGCUGGUCUUCCUCCCCUUUAGCCUUCUUGCAGGAGUGACAGGAUUUGUCCAAAAUACAUGACCAAUAUAUGUAGAUCAAGAAUAACAUGAAGAGUAAAAGGCAAAAAAGGGAAAAAAAAAAAAAAAAGACCAAAGGCCUGUUGAAGAUUUGAAAUUCUCCCUUUGAGUAUGAUUUAUGAGAUCUAACAGAAAUGUGAGCUGUCCUGUCAGCUUUGAAUUUGAUUUUUUCCUGAUCAGAUUUUAUUGCAGAGAGUCAGUGCAGAAACAGAGUUGUUACUGUUCCUGCACGUUAUGGUACUUUGGCACUAGGCCACUCCAUGCAUACAUGCCAAGAUGCUUUUAUAAAGCCAUUUAAAAAAGCAGUACUAAUUAGAUAUUUAGGGGACUAAAAAUCCUGAAGAUUAAAAUGCCAGUAAAGCAGUUAUGACCACAAGUGUGUUUUACAUAAGUAAGCUCAUAAAGGGUUUUCUUCAGUGAUAAAAGCAAAAAUUAUAAACCCCAUGUUUCUUUCCUAAUAGAACAGGUUAGACUACUAAAUGCUUUUUAUGUGUACUACUAUUAUAUUUUUUUUGUUUAUUAUCUUUUCUUGCAGUCAUAUUUAAAGGCCCCAUCAUCAUACUUGUUACUGCACACACAAAAAUAUAAUCUCUACCUUAAAUUGCUUGCAAUAUCAACCUUUCAGUUUAAAAACAUGUUGCAAGGCACAUUUUAAGGAAGCAGAUAAAUACUGUCAAAGAUGUAGCACAGAAUGAAUGUGAGCAUGAUCUGAAAAGUUUUGUUUAAAAUUGUUUAUUUUAUUGGAAGUUUCCAUAUGAUACAAACUUCAAAGUUCCCUAGACUUCUUAAGUGAACGAGACACCAUGUCAAAGCUGAGGAAGCCUACUGUGUCAUAAAUGGCUUGGAGAAGAUAAAGGUGGAAGAAACAUUCCAAGAGGAGCUAGGGCCAAUCAAUGAAAGGAGUGGGGAGCAAUUUAAAAACAAAGAGAGGACAGCUGCUUGUACUUCCUCACAAAAAUUUCACUAAGUGCUAGAGAGUAUUGUGGGCACCAAUAGGAAAAAUAGCUUCAAAAAAGAUUAGACAAAGUCAUGUAGGUUGAGAUGAAGUUACUGUGUCCUCUUUUUAGGAUUAUCAGACAAGCUGACCUAUGUAACCGCCUAAAAGGAAUCUGUAAGUUGCCAAAUGGAUGCAGCAAGAGAAAUUUAGAGAUGAAAUUCUAUUACAUUUCAUCUCUAAACAUCUGAUACCAUCAAUAGUCAAAGGCAGGAUGCGCAGGCCUUUUGUUUGGUUCAGUUUAGUAGCUCAUAAAUACAAGAUAAAUAUAAGAUGCUGAUCUCCUGUAUUGUUGCUGACAUGUGAAUAGUUACAAUAAAGUUUGGUCCUUUUGUGCACUCUGGAUGCAUUUUGGAGACUCUAGUCCAAAGCUGAGGAAUGGUCUGAGAAUAGAAGUGCUAACCCUUCAUUGUAACUAUGAGGCACAGCAAACAGUCCUACCACAUGACAUGAGGAUGUAGUCAUGCAUCUGUGCCAUCCAUCCUCCUUUCCCCAUUUAAAUUUUUUCUAUAUCCACACCUAUCUUCUCUGGUUCAGAGUAAAAGUGGCUUCCUUGUGAAACAUGGAAAUGAAUCCAGGAAACUGGACAAAGCAUUUCCUUGCAGAAACAUUUGGCCACAAUCUAUAUUAGACCACCUUUGUGUAGAAUUAACAGAUCCCACAGGUGCAAGAUUGGUAGUAGAUCAUCUCUUGGCUUUUUUAAACUGUAUUUAUUGUAUGUUACCAACUAGCUCAUGGUUUGGUUUCAGAAGAUGAUGAAAAGAGAGGAUGUUUUUCUGGCUGGGUGCAGAGUACAGCAGAGAAACAAAGGUGAGUAUAUUUCUGUUAUGUGUCCUAAUUUGCUGCUAUCCUGUUUGAUAUUCAUCUGAAUAAUCAAAUGCAGGGUAUGAUUUUUGUCUGGACUGUAGUGAUUCAGCCUUGUUGUAUUUGCACUUCCACACUGGCAGAUGCACACGGACACACACACACACACACAGAGACACAUUUACAGACACAGAAAUGGCAGGAGGAAAGGAGGGAAAUUACAUAAUUAUGGGAGUAACAGAAAACAAAAUAAUGGGGUUGUGAUAUUUUACCUACAGUGGUGUCUGAUUCAGAGACUCUUUGCCUUAAAUGAUGCUUAUCAUCAAUGUUAUCCUGUGUGGAUAUCUCUCUGGUUUUGUUCACUAGAUUUUGUAAUCCUCUUUCAGUUGGAUACCUUGUUUUCUGUAGCUGCAGGGUAUAAUAUAAUAAAAAUGGUAUGCAUCCAUCUGUAAGUUGCUCUUAAGCUGAUAUGUGCACUCUGUGUACAUAUACAUAAUAUUUUUAGAUAAUAUAUACAUGUGAUACAUAUAUAGGCAUAUAUAUAUAUAUGCAUACAGAAAUUAAUACUUUGAUGUAUUUAGCGUCUUCAACUAAUUAUACCUUGCAGUCUCAUGUUAAUUCCCAUUUGCAACAUUUGGCACUAUUCCUCCUAAUUCAUUUAUAUUAAUGAGGGGAGGAUCCUCUGAGCAAUAAUCAGUUAAAAAUCAUGACUAGCUUUGUUAAUAAAUACCAGAUUGGUACAUGAUACUGUAUUGGCUUGUCCUUAAUUAGGAAGCACUGGAAGGAGUACCAAGAGGGAAAUACUCAUAAAUUUUUCUUUUAAAGUCUAACUGCUCUCUUUCUGGUAUUUGCAUCUUUGAAAGAGAGAGAAAAAUGAUAACUUUGAAAUUUUUAAAUUUUCCUGCACUUAAAACAGCUUAUAUUUAAUUAAGAUAUACAUUUGAUAUAGAAGUUUUUCCAGCCAGGUCCAUGUGAGGAAAGAAAAAUCAAGAAAAACAUCAGCAACAUUGCUAAGUAUUAGGUAAUUGAAAUACUUAAUUUAAAUAUUAGAAAACUGGAAGUUUUAUGAAGUAUUUGGGGAAGCUGGAUGGCUCAGGGAUCUAGUAAUGAACUAGUGAAGUCUUCAUUUCUAGGUGAUUGAUUGGGAUUGUAUCUAGGAAAGGCAAGAAAAUAAUUCCUAUAAGUCUGUAUAGAGCAAUGGUUCUGCUAUCAAAAUCAUGUCUUACCCUCAGCCAGGACUCCAGGAGUGAAUGGGCAGAUGUUAGCAGGGAUAGGCAUGCAAUAUCUGUGGAGUCUCAAUUUUCUGGAAUGGUAAUGGGUAAGUUUCUCAUAGAGUAAAUGAAUUUUUCCUGAGAUUUUAAUCUCAAAGUACUUUAAAGUGGCAACUUUUUCUGGCAUCACUUACAGUGAUUUCUUCCCUCUCAUGUCUUCUAAAUACUUAACAUCACUGCAGGCUUGCCAAUGUGCAGUCUACUGGUGCUUGUUUAUGCCAAAACCCUCCAGCAUAUGUAUGCUUAUUUUAUCAGUAAUCACUAUUACGAGUUAUUAAUACAAGAAAAGUGUAAUUAGAGAUGCUGAGUUUUUGAGAUCUACUGACCAACAGAAUGGCAGGGACUGACAGCCCUGUUCUGUGCAAUGGUGAAAACUGAAGUAAUCUCUUCUUCUUAUCAGAAACUUUUGAAUAGGUUAGUGCUUUGAAGCCUGAAUCAUGACUGUGCUGAUCUGAACUGCAGCAGCACUGACUAUGCUCCUGCCAGGACGGUGCUGCUGGAGAGAAUAUGGCAGCAUAAAUCUAUUAUUGGUUGGGCUUCAAGGGAGGGAAUUGCUAAUAUUGCUUUUACACUCAUUUGAUCUGAAACUCUUUUCCAGUCCACCUGUGACAUAUGCUUGCAGCCCUUCUUUCCUCCAGCUAUUUGUUCAUGUCUGUGCCUCCAGAAGAGAAGCCCCUGCACUCUGACAUUCAUGGGGGCGAGGGCAGUGGGAGGGUUAGCUGUGGGCAGGCUUUUGGCACAGUGCUUGCUCUGGCUAAGCACUUCUGAUCUGGAAGGCAAGAGAUUAUCCUGUAGUAGGGCUGUCAGUUUGUGAAGUUGUGACUUCUUUUUCCCCUCCAACAUUUGUUUUUCCAGUCUGUUUAUUCUGGAAGCAGCUUGGGGCAGACAUUUGUCCUUACAGCAUAGUCACACAGUUUCUGACAGAGUGAACUGGACCUUCCUUUGGACCUCAAAGAAUUGCUGAGCAGCGAAAAGUCCUGACAUGACAACAAGAGGAGAAAAACCUUGAGGGCAGUGUGGGGAGAGGGGCAUGGUGGGAGGCACAGCACCUUCCUCUGGGAGUGAGAAGAACGACCUCCAAUGGCUUGCAGUGACCUGGGCCCUCUGAGCCACAAAUAUCUGUCACUAAUGUCACAGAGAUCCAAAGUGCUGCUCCUCUAUGGAAGGAUCUCUCAAGGCAAUCACCGAUGCUGUCUGUUCUGGGCUUUUUUCAUUGCCCUUAUACAUUUUAAUAACCAAACCAUUAACAUACAGAAACAUUUCAUCAUAAGCCAGGUGAGAGGUAGCGAGACUUAUUUUUUUUUUUUUUAUUUGCAUUUGUUCUAAGUUUCAGAGAAAAUUUAAAAUUACAAAAUCUCAACAGAUGACUUAAGGAGAUAUUAUUAAUGGGAAUAUUAAACAAUUUAAAUAAAAUCUUUUAUGUAAUUGCACAAAAUAUUCAUCCACCCUUCCAAACUGAGUGAGUAGUUAUAAGUUUUGAGAGGACAGAUGGAUGUGUGCUAGGCCAUCUAACUUCCUGGGUAGCUCAAGAGAUCAAUAAGCUACCUAGAAAGACAUGGAUAACUGGACCUGUGGGAUACUCAGGGCUAAGUGAUCCUAAAAGGUUUUAAAAACAUGUAACUUCUUUGAUAGGAAGAUAGGAAGAUCUUGUAUUAUAGUGCAGAAAGAUGUGCAGAUGGUAGGGAAAGGUGCCAGCUAAAGGUGACACUCCAGCUCACGUGAACUGGUCAUGGCCCACAGCUGAGCAGAGCCCUUCAUCCAGAAAGCAUCAGGAUCUUGGUCUGAGAAAGACUAAGUAAGGUGUUAGUAUUUUCUCAUGCUAAAAACAAAAAAAAAGAGGAGAAAUAGUCAUAAUUUUCUUCUUUGCUUUCAAAUUUUAAAAUUACACAUUCACAGUUUGUGGUCAGUUGGUUGAAGUACAUAUAGAGGCUUCUGUCCUCACCUGGAAUUGCUGGUGUUUUUUGAUGUGGCAAAACAGAGCUUUUUCAGUUUAGUGCUUGCAGUAUAUUUAAACAAUUAAACACUAGAUUUCAUAUCAGCAAGUAUAUACUCGUAAUUUUAUUACUUUAUUUUCCUUGAGAAAGCAAUUGAUCUGUUGGAAAAGCAGAUAGAAUAUAUACAGCAUAUUAUUGUUAUUGGUCUUUUACUGUCCUAAGUUUUAGAGAACACUUUACUUUCAAUUUUACUGAAUGUUUCCAUGAAACAUAGAGUGUUACUCGUUCUGCAAUGCACAAUGUCUCAACAUAUCCAUAUGCUUAUAGGUCUCAUAGUCUCACAGUCACGAGUAGCAAACUUACAGAUUCUAUACCAUAACAUUAUUUACUUCGAUACUCCAUCUCAGACACACCGAACUGUUUACAGGCAUCUUAACUUGACAUUCUACAGAUAGCUGUUUCUCCUGUUUACAAACAAGUUACAUUAAUGUAAUGAUUCUGCAAUUACAUAAAAAGAUUACCAGACCACUUGAAAAUUCCCUACUAGCAUUCUCAUUUAUAUUAGCGUGUUCUCAAUUAGAGUAAUAUAUGUCUGAUGAUUCUCUUUACUGCAAAACUUAAUUUAGAUUUCUUGUUAAUUCACAUUGUGCCAGUGUUUAACAUCAAAUAUUAAUAAAUGCCCCUGAUUUCUUUUUUGCCAAAAAAAGAAAAAAAAAGAAAUCGGACUGUUUUGUAGAACAAUUAUUACGUACCAAAGCUUAUUACUUGAUUGCUGCAAAGUAGCCCACUUUCAGCAGGCACAGCAUAUCUGGUUGAUUUUCUGAGAGGGGAUAAAUAAAUUUCCCUGAGUCAAUGGGUAACAAUGCUGGUGAUAGAGACAUCAGUGGCAUCCAGACAGUGAUCAUCUCAUUGAAGGAGAAAGUAAAGACGAGAAGAAAGUAAAAGCUGCCCUCAUUUGCAGAAAGUUAUCUUUUCAAGCUGAUUAUUAGCUUGCACUCAGGACAAGCUUUUCAUUUGCCCUCUUCUGUAAAGCCAAGUUAUUAUAAUGGAAGCCACCAACAGGUUAAGGAGGGAAGGAAUUUAAAAGUUUGUGAGAAAUGCAUGUUAAAAAUCUGUUUAAAACAAUAUGAAAAACUGCUCACGUACAUAAAAUAGGUGAAAAUUCUUUUUCAGCUUUAUUUACCUGAGAAUGAAUUUCAGUUUGAAGAGGCCUUUAUGUCGUUUCAGGCAAAGCACCUAAGAUAUAAGCAAUUUUCAACAAGAGUACUACACAUUUGUCUUUAUAACAAUUUGUAUGUAACAGCUUUUAUGCAAAUGAUGCUAAAGUGGCACCUUUUUUCUAAAUUGGACAUUUUUAUGGUUAUAAUUUUCUUCUGUAAUAACAGCAAAAAAAAAAAUGGUUGUCCCAGUGGAGUUGAGCAUUUCAUCUCUAGUGCUGUUUUGUGAAGUUGGAAUGACAAGUUUCUUUCAUUUGCACAAAGAAUGACAAAAAGAAGUAUUUUUUGUCAUUCUUGUCUGACUUGGUUGAGGCAGUUACACUUGGAAGUAGCACCAGUCCCCUGACACCAACCUUUUCUCUGCCAUCAAGAAUGGUAUCAUAAAGUCGUAAUAAAAC